rnacentral:ncRNA from 1 species
GGUUGGGCGUAAGCUUCAAGAAUGAAUUAGUCGGGGAACUAAUU